UGGCUUAGUGGUAGAGUGCUUGCCUACCAUGCAUGAGGCCCUAGGUUUGAUUCCUUG
rnacentral:tRNA from 1 species